AUUGAACGCUGGCGGCAGGCCUAACACAUGCAAGUCGAGCGAGCGGCGGACGGGUGAGUAAUGUCUGGGAAACUGCCUGAUGGCGGGGGAUAACUACUGGAAACGGUAGCUAAUACCGCAUACCAUCAGAUGUGCCCAGAUGGGAUUAGCUAGUAGGUGGGGUAACGGCUCACCUAGGCGACGAUACCUAGCUGGUCUGAGAGGAUGACCAGCCAGCCUGGAAAUGGGACACGGUCCCGGCGCCUACGAGAGGCAGCAGUGGGGAAUAUUGCACAAUGGGCGCAAGCCUGAUGCAGCCAUGCCGCGUGUGUGAAGAAGGCCUUCGGGUUGUAAAGCACUUUCAGCGGAGAGGCGUUACCAGCAGAAGAAGCACCGGCUAACUCCGUGCCAGCAGCCGCGGUAAUAC
rnacentral:rRNA from 1 species